GAUGAACGCUAGCGGCAGGCCUAAUACAUGCAAGUCGAACGAGAUCCAAGAGCUUGCUUUUGGUGAAAGUGGCGCACGGGUGCGUAACGCGUAUGCAACCUACCUUAAUCAGGGGGAUAGCCUCUCGAAAGAGAGAUUAACACCGCAUAACAUUAUGAUAUGGCAUCAUAUUAUAAUCAAAUAUUUAUAGGAUUAAGAUGGGCAUGCAUGACAUUAGCUAGUUGGUGAGGUAACGGCUAACCAAGGCUACGAUGUCUAGGGGAUCUGAGAGGAUGACCCCCCACACUGGUACUGAGACACGGACCAGACUCCUACGGGAGGCAGCAGUAAGGAAUAUUGGUCAAUGGAGGCAACUCUGAACCAGCCAUGCCGCGUGCAGGAAGACGGCCCUAUGGGUUGUAAACUGCUUUUAUACGGGAAUAAACCUCUCUACGUGUAGGGAGUUGAAUGUACUGUAAGAAUAAGGAUCGGCUAACUCCGUGCCAGCCGCCGCGGUAAAAC
rnacentral:rRNA from 1 species